CCUACGGGAGGCAGCAGUAGGGAAUCUUCCACAAUGGACGAAAGUCUGAUGGAGCAACGCCGCGUGAGUGAAGAAGGGUUUCGGCUCGUAAAGCUCUGUUGGUCGUGAAGAAAGAUAGAGGUAGUAACUGGCCUUUAUUUGACGGUAAUUACUUAGAAAGUCACGGCUAACUACGUGCCAGCAGCCGCGGUAAUACGUAGGUGGCAAGCGUUGUCCGGAUUUAUUGGGCGUAAAGCGAGUGCAGGCGGUUCAAUAAGUCUGAUGGGAAAGCCUUCGGCUCAACCGGAGAAUUGCAUCAGAAACUGUUGAACUUGAGUGGAGAAGAGGAGAGUGGAACUCCAUGUGUAGCGGUGGAAUGCGUAGAUAUAUGGAAGAACGCCAGUGGCGAAGGCGGCUUUCUGGUCUGCAACUGACGCUGAGGCGCGAAAGCAUGGGUAGCGAACAGGAUUAGAUACCCCUGUAGUC
rnacentral:rRNA from 1 species